GUGGGGAAUAUUGGACAAUGGGCGAAAGCCUGAUCCAGCCAUGCCGCGUGUGUGAAGAAGGUCUUCGGAUUGUAAAGCACUUUAAGUUGGGAGGAAGGGCAGUAAGUUAAUACCUUGCUGUUUUGACGUUACCGACAGAAUAAGCACCGGCUAACUUCGUGCCAGCAGCCGCGGUAAUACGAAGGGUGCAAGCGUUAAUCGGAAUUACUGGGCGUAAAGCGCGCGUAGGUGGUUUUGUAAGUUGGAGGUGAAAUCCCCGGGCUCAACCUGGGAGCUGCCUCCAAAACUGCAUGACUAGAGUACGGUAGAGGGUAGUGGAAUUUCCUGUGUAGCGGUGAAAUGCGUAGAUAUAGGAAGGAACACCAGUGGCGAAGGCGACUACCUGGACUGAUACUGACACUGAGGUGCGAAAGCGUGGGGAGCAAACAGGAUUAGAAACCCUAGUAGUCC
rnacentral:rRNA from 1 species